CAGGAAUCUCCUUGUUGUACAGGUGACAAGAUCAGGUUAAUCACAUCUGUACUACAAUCCCCUAAUGUCCUAAUUUGUAUGUUAUUGUCUCUAGCAUAUAUCAGGAACUGCUAGUUGGCAUUGUCUGGGAGAAAAAAGACAGUUUUUUUUUUUUUUUUUUUUUUUUUUUUUUUUUAUGCCCAGGAGCAACUGAAUUUCAGAACACAGCCAGAGACUGACUGGUAAGAAUCUGCAAUUUUGACAUUUAGUUUCUCCUUCCCUCUCAGUGAAGGUCUGUGAGCAUUCACAUUUUGCUGGGAGUCUGGAACCAAUAAGGAGUGUGUUCUCAUUUCCGCCAAUGGAAAGCAAAUCCUCAGGAAAGCUUGGGGAUCUCCUUCAGAGCUGCUGAUUCAUUUCUCCCUCACAUCUAAACGUGCACUGCCGCAGAAACCAUGAAAAAGAAAUUGGAUGACAGACAAAAUGAAACUCGUCCUAGGUCAUGUAUACAGUAACAAACAAAAGAGAAAAGCGUCCCGGGAGCCUUCAUUCCAGUAGCUUAUGGAAGCAGAAGCAGACAGCAACAGCUAAACACUGAACUGAACUUUUGGAAUGUCGUUGCCAAGAGGGAAGAGUGAUGAGCAAAGGGGUCAAGACCAGACUGGUGAAACCCAAAGACACAGCUGACCUGAACAAGUCUGUGUGUAUUCAAAUUUUGCUUGGGACCUGCACCAAUGAGGAGUGUGACCUUAUUUCCACCAAUGGAAAGCAAAUCAUCAGGGAAGUUUGGAGAUCUCCUUCAGAGCUCCUGAUUCAUUUCUCCCGUCCUACAUAAUGUGUGCUACUGCAGAUACCACGAAAUGGAAAGCAGGUGACAGCAAAUAAAAUAAUUUU
rnacentral:lncRNA from 1 species